CAGUAGCCGCGGUAAUACGGAGGGCGCGAGCGUUACCCGGAUUUACUGGGCGUAAAGGGCGUGUAGGCGGCCUGGGGCGUCCCAUGUGAAAGGCCACGGCUCAACCGUGGAGGAGCGUGGGAUACGCUCAGGCUAGAGGGUGGGAGAGGGUGGUGGAAUUCCCGGAGUAGCGGUGAAAUGCGCAGAUACCGGGAGGAACGCCGAUGGCGAAGGCAGCCACCUGGUCCACUUCUGACGCUGAGGCGCGAAAGCGUGGGGAGCAAAUCGGAUUAGAUACCCGCGUAGUCCCUGUCUCUUAUAC
rnacentral:rRNA from 1 species